UAUAAACAAGUCAUUAAGCCAGCAUAUUAUGAAGUGAUGAAUCAUUUGUGCAUUUGGUUAGCUGUUGAGGGAAAUAAAUUGUAUACUCUCUAUUACAGCAUAGAUUUGUAUCUCAUAAAUCCUGAUUUCUUAUGUCUUGUGAUAAAAGAAGAUGCUGGUUGAGAUCUGCACCGUGGCUAUCUGCUGGGUCAUAACAGCAAGUUGUAGUCAGUGCAUAGAGCCUCGUGAGACAGGUACAAACUUCUCCAUCACAGUGACCCAAGACGUUACAGUAGAGGCUGGACGGUGCAUUCCUAUAUCAUGUAAAUUCACGUACCCAGGCAACAUUACUGAAUACGUACGAAGAGUCUGGUUCAAAGGAGAUGCACUUACGCCUGUAUUUGAAAAAGAUGCAGAGGUGUGCGGUGUUGUUUGGCAGUCCCUGAGAGGUCCUGAAAGGUCUUGCAGCUUUUUCCUCGAAGACCAACAAGAAGGAGAAAGCGAGUAUAGAUUCAAGUUAACAUGGGGAGGUGAUCAAAUGUAUGUCUUUCCUGAGAGGGUACGAGUCUCAGUGUCUGCUCUAACCCAGAAGAAGCCCACUGUGGAGACACCCCCUCUCACAGAGGGAGAGAGGGCCACACUGACCUGCAAAGUAUAUUCACUCAAACUAAAUGACCUCUGCCCGCAAAGACUGGAAGAAGAUUUUGUUGGAAUAGUCUGGAGAGGGACAGAGAACUUAGGCAUAUAUUUUGGGAUAAUGAAGCCAUCAACAGCAGAAAAUACAUUCAGUGUGAAUAAGUUGUAUUUCACUCCUAAAUCCGAACAUCACAACAUCAACCUCACAUGUAUGGGCAUCUACAAGAAGGCCAACAUUACUGUGGAGAAAACGGUGACUUUAACAGUAAAAUACCGUCCCAAGUUCCUGAAUGGCUCGGUGUGUGUGGUCCAGGCAGAGGUCCUGACCUGUGUGUGUGUCAGUCAGGGGGUUCCCUUACCAGUGAUUGCUUGGCCAAUGUUAGGGGUCUAUAUUAGUUACAGUGUCAUCGUCUCCAGGAGUGCCCAAACCGUGAACAGCACCAUCACCAUGUCUGCCUCAGAAUACAAGAACAGCAGCAUGGAGUGUGUCAGCAGAAAUGUAAUUGGCCAGACCGAGAUGGAAUUCCCCGUACUACACCAAGCUGAAGGGAGCCUGACACGUAAGUUCUUCAGUUGAACAUUCUAUAUAUCCCUGGGUCAGAGAAGAGGGAUGUUGCAGUCUUUCCCUGGAUAAUCGUUGGCUUGUCCCUCAGCCUUAAUGUGGCCCUCCUUGUCUAUCUGACCAGCGCUUGUAAAUGCAAAAAGGGUGGACAGAAGAGAGCUAAAGAAGAAGAUAGUACCUACAUCUCAUUGGACAAGGCAGACGUGUCUCCUGAAUAUGACAUCAUCUCCCCGAAUCCCCAUUGAUCCUCUGCUUGUGAUAAACUUCUACUUUAUUUUAGCGUUUGGUUCUGAGACUUGAUUUUGCUCUUUUAUUUAAAUUUCAAUUAUUUUCUAUUGCUAUACUUUUGUUGCUGUUGCUUGAGCCCUGAAAACAUUUUGACGUGAAUAAUGUCUCAGGAUUUAUGCACAAAAAAAUAACUAAAUUGUAACAGUUUUUCUGUAAAAGCACAUACGGAAGCUACAAGUUCGUGAUAUCUUCCUCAUGUUCAACUAUGUUAAUCAAAAUGGUAUGCAGAUAAUCAAGGUACCACAGUAUAGAACGCCGUUUGGGUCUUUCCGUGUCAAAAAAGAUACACAUCAAAUAACACUAUUUGACACAUUGAAUAAGCUUAUAAUUUGACAUGUCAAAUAAAACAGUUUAAUUGUAGAAUGUUGUGUUGGACCGCAACGUCUGGGCUAGCAGCUAGCUUUAGCUUAGUCCCUAGCAAGAGGUUGCCACAUGUUGUUCGCCUGUUGAAAUUGAACUUCAGUUCACGACAAGAAAUAGCUAGCCAGCUCCUAAACCCUGGUGCCCAAAGUUAACGUUAUAUACUGCCAGCUAGCUUCAUGAUGCUCGACCAGACCGGGUUAUGUGUUGUGAAGCUAGCCACAAUAAGGAGUAGGCAUAAUAGUGGAAUUUGCGAUUUGACUUCAAAAUAAAAUUCCUCUUUGACAGUGAUGCAGAAGGUAACAACUGGUGGAAUCAUGCCAUAUUUAGAUUAGAUCAUGUUAAACAAGGUUGGAAUGUGAAGCAAUGAAAUGGGGUAUCAGCCUACUCGGUGACACCCACAGAACACGACUGUGAAGAGUUUACUCAAAUAUUAGCGCUGUAGCUCUUAUUGCGGGACUGUGACUGUGAAAUCGCCUCCCCAGUCAGCCUAUUGUGUGUAUUGACAUUCAUAUUGUACUGUACAGCUUUACCUAAGGA